AAGUUUAGUCAUGGCCGACUUCAGUAAUAAAAUGUGUCAAUCGUUUCAGUUUUCCUUAAGUUUUCUAUAAAAAAAUUUGUUGUCGCGUAAUCCAUGAGUACGUACGCAUACGCCACCUACGGCAAUCUCUUGAACUAAAUUGUCACUACUGUCAGAAAUUUUCUUGACAAUUUUCAAAUCCAAAAUACUUUUGGGCUUGAAUGAUUAUCGUUGUUAAUGAAACUAGGGAUUAAUAUGGGAAGAAAGUGUUUUAUUUGUGGUAAUACACAGAAUCCAUUUUUUGAAUUUCCGGCGGAAGUCGAUCUUAGAAACAAAUGGUUUGAAUCACUUUCAAAAUUUUGUGAUCUGACCAAUGUAAACGAUCGCACUGUUUUGUGUUCCAAACAUUUUGUAAAAGAAUGUUUUGUUAAAGGCACAAAAAGAAUUCGCCUGAAUAAACAAGCGGUUCCGUUUAUAUUCAAUGAUGCUGAUCCUGACAUUUCUAGAACCCAACCAACGAAUCUUUUUUUAGAAGACAUUCAUCAAAAUUCCGUUUCUUCAUUCCAAAUUGGUAAUAGGGAAACUAAUAUUUGCACAUGUUCAAAGGAUAAACAAGAACUUAAAGAUCUCAGGUACCACAACAAAGUUUUAAAGCAACAAUUGAAUAGAAUGAAACGAAAGAAUUCUGAAUGCUUAUCAAAAAUAAGAACUUUAGAAGAAAAAGUUAAAAAUUUGGAAACUUUAAAAAUAAAAGUCAAUAUUUCUUUUGAACGUGAUAAAAAAUCACCAUAAAAAAUAGGUACGACCUAGGUGGUCAGAAACAUCUAUUUGGCUGUGGAUUGUCUGGAGGUUUUGUGGUGCAAGGACUGAGUACUAGACACAUAAUACCAGCAGGAUACUUUUUCUACUCAUUGUUAACUCAGAACUUAUAUUUAUUAAUGAAAACAUUUUACAAUUUCUGACAAACUGUGGCCACAUUGUGAUAGAUUUGUUACAGACAAUAUUUCAACAAAUGUGUCCCUUUUUAAAGAAAAUUGGAAAUGGAUCACUAAUAAAGUGAUAUGUAAUAAUAUUUCAUAUUGAUUCAUAUUAAUAUUUGGUUCAUUGUGACGAAUGUUUAACACCUUUAUUAUGUACAAGCAUUCCUGGUCAGUUGCUACAAUUGAUUGCCAUUCAUACUUAUUGUGUUUUGUGAUAAAGCUAAAUAAAAUCAUUAAUAUCUGGA